rnacentral:rRNA from 1 species
UACGUAGGGGGCAAGCGUUGUCCGGAUUUAUUGGGCGUAAAGAGCGUGUAGGCGGCCAGACAGGUCCGUUGUGAAAACUCGAGGCUCAACCUCGAGACGUCGACGGAAACCGUCUGGCUAGAGUCCGGAAGAGGAGUGUGGAAUUCCUGGUGUAGCGGUGAAAUGCGCAGAUAUCAGGAAGAACACCUAUGGCGAAGGCAGCACUCUGGGACGGUACUGACGCUGAGACGCGAAGGCGUGGGGAGCGAACAGG